CUACCAUGGCAAUCACGGGUAACGGAGAAUUAGGGUUCGAUUCCGGAGAGGGAGCCUGAGAAACGGCUACCACAUCUACGGAAGGCAGCAGGCGCGAAAAUUGCCCAAUCCUGAUUCAGGGAGGCAGUGACAAGAAAUAACAACUCUCGACUAUGUUGAGAAGUGUAAUGAGGAUAAUUUACAAACCUUACCGAAAGCAAUUGGAGGGCAAGUCUGGUGCCAGCAGCCGCGGUAAUUCCAGCUCCAAAGGCGUAUAUUAAAGUUGUUGCAGUUAAAAAGCUCGUAGUUGAAAUUCUGGCUGUAUUGGGCCUCUGCACUCGAUGCGAAGGAACCAGCAGUCAUCCGCUUGCAAAUACAUGUCCUUCCUUAACCGGUAGGCUGUAUAAGUAAGCAUUUUACCUUGAGAAAAACAGAGUGUUCCAGGCAGGUUUGUCCGGAAUGCGUUAGCAUGGAAUAAUAGAAUAUGACUGAAGUCGAUUUAUUGGUUAAAGGCUUUGGUAAUGAUUAAUAGGAACAAUCGGGGGCAUUGGUACUUGUCAGUCAGAGGUGAAAUUCUAGGAUUUGACAAAGACUAACUGAUGCGAAAGCGUUUGCCAAGAAUGUUUUCAUUAAUCAAGAACGAAAGUUAGGGGAUC
rnacentral:rRNA from 1 species